AAAGAACGGAGAGGACAGAAGCAGAAUAAGAUGCACCCAAAUGGCUUCCCCCCCCAGAAAAAUCCUGACCGGUAACCCAUCACCCAGGUUCUACCUCAACAGGACCAAACACUGCAAAGGGACGAAAACCAGAGUGUGGAAAUGUAUUUCAUGAUGAGAAGAGGAUGAUGCAAGAGAUUCACUAAUGCAAGGCCUUAACGCAAAGGGCCUGGGCCACGCAGGGACCCAUGACCACACAGUCCACCAGCCCAAACAUUCCUGCCUUCUUGAGUACAGGCAAGCUGGUGGCUUUAUGAGCCCAGGACUUACCUUGACGCCAUCGUUCUUCUUGUUGCCACCACUUUUCCCUCC